UGGGGAAUUUUGGACAAUGGGCGAAAGCCUGAUCCAGCAAUGCCGCGUGUGUGAAGAAGGCCUUCGGGUUGUAAAGCACUUUUGUCCGGAAAGAAAUCCUUGGCUCUAAUACAGUCGGGGGAUGACGGUACCGGAAGAAUAAGCACCGGCUAACUACGUGCCAGCAGCCGCGGUAAUACGUAGGGUGCAAGCGUUAAUCGGAAUUACUGGGCGUAAAGCGUGCGCAGGCGGUUUGCUAAGACCGAUGUGAAAUCCCCGGGCUCAACCUGGGAACUGCAUUGGUGACUGGCAGGCUAGAGUAUGGCAGAGGGGGGUAGAAUUCCACGUNUAGCAGUGAAAUGCGUAGAGAUGUGGAGGAAUACCGACGGCGAAGGCAGCCCCCUGGGCCAAUACUGACGCUCAUGCACGAAAGCGUGGGGAGCAAACAGGAUUAGAUACCCUGGUAGUCCACGCCCUAAACGAUGUCAACUAGUUGUUGGGGAUUCAUUUCCUUAGUAACGUAGCUAACGCGUGAAGUUGACCGCCUGGGGAGUAC
rnacentral:rRNA from 1 species